GGUUACUGUGAGGAGCUCAGAAUGGAGAAGGAGCUGUGUGUGCGUGUGCUGGCAUCCUGGCAGUGUCGAUAACGGGUGGCCAGAGACAGAUGAAAGGGCAGCCUGCCUGGUGAGCCAGUGGAAGGCAUGGGAACUCCCAACCCCAGGCUCUGGGAGAAGGAGCAGACACACACCAGUGUGCGAAUGCAGCUGCAACACUCGCUGGAAGGAGAGGGACAGUCCUCCCUCCCCAGGGGACACUUGGCAAUGACUGGAGGAGUUGCUACUGGCAUCUCCUGGGUGGAGGCCAGGCAGGGCUGCUGCUGAACAUCCCUGUCUAGUGCACAGGACAGCCUCCACCACAAAGAAUCAUCCAGCCCCAAAUGUCAACAGCACCAAGGUUGAGAACUCUGUUCUAAGCCCUGAAAUUAUCAUUUGACAAGCGCAAUUACAAUUCAAUGUCUUUUUGAUGCACCAAAGCCA